UCCACCCAGAAGAAGACAGCGCAGGUGCGUGUGGGUGUGGCCUCCUCUGAUGACGUGUCGAACAGUCACGCGCUCGUCUUUCAACUGGCAGGAGAAAGUUAAAAAACGAUUUAUUUAAAAUGAAACGACCGACGAAGAGUCGACUUGUUUGGUUGCCACCCUCCAAAAAAAAAAAAAUAAUACUAAGGAAAAAGAACAAGAAGAGUCGACUUGUUUGGUUGCCAUCGUGUUUUGUUGUUGACAUUAGCGGUGACGAGGAGGAGGAGGAGGAGGAUCACCGCAGCAGGUGGACACGAUGCAUGUGGAGCACGUCGUCUUCUCCAGAUCGUCCAUAGACACCUAUGGAGGAUGGCAGCUCUCGCCCCCUACUGCUGCCCCAUCUGGCCUCGCAGUGUAACUCUCCGCCACGUUCGCUACAGAUACUGCGACCCAAUCACCUCUGCCCAGGGUUCUCAUAACAGCCAUGGCAACCAAUUUGUCAGCUGGCCAACCAGCCUGGCGGUGUGGUCCGAGAGGACAAAUCUGAGGGACAAUCUUGGAGCGGUGUCCCUGAUUCAGGACAUUUCAUUGGAUGAAAGGUUCUCCGUCCUGAAGGCAGAGUCGUAGUGAGGGAGAGGGAGGGGGAGACGGGGGAGAGAGAGAGAGAGGCAGGCAAACAUCCAAAUGUGGGCCUCUGUCAAAGACGAUGGUGCAGAUGGUGUGAUGGUUGAGUGUUUUCCGGAGUAGACGUCAAGAUUCCCCUGAAGAUGACAAGCAAUUAAAUGAAUUUCUUCAUUCACUUUUGUUCCCACGGUGAUGUUGCACCCGGUGUGCACCGCACAGUGCGGGUCACAGCCAUCUAGGGAAUGAGAUUGUCAGUACUCAUCAUCAAGCAACCUUCCAAAUGAGCAAAAUCAAAAGUGAUCUGAAAGGACCGAUAUUGUGGACAGUGUGUCUUGCAAAAGAAGGUUAGUGGAGACACACACACACAUGUAAACUCAGAACAGAGGCACAUGAGUUCUCACUCUCAUUUUCUCUAUCUCAACAAAACACACAAAUAAAUCCUCUUACAAACACUCACAUCUAGGUGUACCACCUGUGCCCCUCCUCUCCCUCGCUGCUCCUCUGUAAUCCACUUGAAUGUAGCGGGAUAUUGGAUUAGAAAGUUAUAGAUGUGAUUAUUCGUCCCUGGGCACAACCAUCUAUUCGCUGAUUAAAACAUGAACUGGGGCCAUUAUGUAACUGCUUAAAGAGAUUAAAAGUAGACGGGCUCUCUGCUGGAACAUGCGAUAGAGAUAGCGCAGGUGAAGGCACAUGACGGCAUGUUAGUUACAAGUAGCAUGAUGGAACUGCAGAGGAGUAAUAAAAGACUAAUGCCAAGAGAAGUGAGCCUUGUAAUGUGAGCUUGUUGCUUAAGGAAUUGAAUGUCUUUUUUGAAUGUCUUCAAUUAGUCAGCUGGAAACCAGCAAGCGAUUGACUUUUAUUUUGAAAAGGAAUUCUUACUAAAACACCACCCACCCCUGAAAUUGUGACUUCUGGUUUGUUGUCUGGUUUUGGAAAUGAACAAAUGAAUUGACAAUCUCAAAAAUAAUUGUUUUAUAGUGUUUUGCGGGUUUUUAUAUUUUUUGUUUUUCUUGCUAGCCAGCCUUUUGUUACUCUAAUAUCUUAUUCUUCUCUGUCUCCCCCCUGUCAUUAUCACUGUGUCUUUGUUGCUAUGGGUUACAGGCACAGGCAACCAAUGUGAAAAUAUGUUCAACUUUCUACGUACUCUAUAUCAAUCUCUGUAAUCAUGAUAGACAUGAAUAAAGUGAUGUUGGGUUGUCUUUGAUGAUUCGAACAUUCAAAGAAAAGGG